AAACUCCUACUGGGAGGCCAGGGAACAGAGCGCUGUUCCACUUUCCUACCGGGUUACAGGUUCCUACCAGCCCGGUCGCAACCUCAGCCCAGUAGGCUCAUAUUAAGGACAAGAACUGUGGGUGGGUGUCAUUCUUAUUUCCCCAGCUUCAAAUAAUAAGAGAAAUAAGCAGACUUGUGGAAUCCUCCCAUUUUGAUAACAGGCAAGAAGAAUCUAAGGUGGAGGAGAAAGGUUCGAUCCUGGGGGUUUUGAAAGCAAUGAAACUCUGAGCCUGGCUGCACCACCCUUGAGCUUGCCUUGAUGGUAACUUCCGGAGGAAACUUUGAAGAGAAGGGCGAUUCUGAGAAAAAUCCCCUGCACCCACUUUUACCACCCGGGUCACAGUUCUCUCAUUGUCCCCAACAAACUGCCCCCACCCCGUGGCCUCUGUCCCGCCUAACACAGCUCAUUUGGGGGCGGGGGGGUUCGAGGGGUAGGGACGAUAACCUGUGAUGCUCCAGCAGGAGCAGCUGGCCUAGGAGAGAGUCUCUCCCCGCGCCACUUAGCACCGUGUCACUGCAUGGCUCCGCCCAAUAGCUGCUUAGCAAAGACAUCCAGAAAUUCUGACGUACCCUCCUCCCCCUCUCCUCCCGGGGACGAAGGCCUGGCUUGUGACGCCCGCUCCAAAAGGGCAUGAGACUGAAGUCGGUUUCUCCGGGUGCCCGGGCCUCUCCAGGCUGGGGAGGGUUAGUCGGAGGUGCCCACCGAGGGGCGACCCAGGGCUGCGCUCGGUCACCCACGAUGCCCACGUACCGGAUCCGCGGCUCGCACCGCCCAGCGUGUAGCCAGCCUGCGGCGCGCUUCCGGGUAGGGCACGUGACCCUGCCACAUGAUCCGGGCCUGCUUUGUGGGUUCGAGCCCCGCCCCGUCAGGCAUUGCUCUCCCUUCAGGCUACUGUGCUUGCUGGUCACCCGCCGCUAGGGAGCGGUGCCACGCUCCCCCUGGCAUAAGUCGGUAUCCCACUGCCUUUAGAGGCACCUGCUGAGUGCCGGUGACUUUUCUUCUAGAGGCUCUUUUGCUUGGUUUAGCUAAAGGGGUUCCCCACAGAUUUACAGAAGGGGCAACUGAGGGCCCCCGAGGGAACCACCUCGCUGAAGAGGGACCACAUGGAAUCAGAACCCAGGUUUCCUUGCACCUUCACCGGGCCCUUCCUAGCAGUUAGUUUUCUUGCUGAAUCUAGUUCUAAGUGAAAGCUACCCUUUUGUGGGUGCUUUCCCUUACUUACCUCCAGGGGACCGAACCCAUGCAGGAGAGCCCAGCUACGUUUGGUGUCCUCCUUGUUUACAAAAGUUCGCAAUCUGAUUGAGGGCUGCAUACACAUUAGGGCUUUUGUCUUGAACCUGUGAGUGAUUGCAUAGUAUCGAGAUUUUAUGUGUAUUUGGAGUGGCGAAAAGAGCAAAGGAGGCCAAUGGGGUCCGCAGAAGAAGCUGGACACCUCCCCCAGGUCCUCAUUGGGCACCUUGGUGCUUCUGGGAAACUUUGUGUACAACCCGGAAUGAGCAUUCCCCACCCAUAAGGCAGAAGCCAAGAACCAGUGCCACGGCCACUCCAGCUACCUAAGGUACACUCAAACAGCAUCGCGCGCCUGUGCCUGCUCCUUAGCCACCCACCCUGCUCAGCCAGGCUCCACAGUACAGCCACAGGCAUCUGUCUCCUUGAGUCCUGAAUCUGCCUAUCCUGCUGACUUCGGACAUUUCCCCCUUGCUUCAGUUUGUAAGUGUGAAUAACUGUUACCCAUGAACAAUUUAUAACUAAUCUAGCCCAUGUUACCUGAUGCUAGUGACUUGAGUCUUACAGAGGACUAAAGAAUGGCGUCGAUCAUCUCUUCAUGUGGUUUUUCUCUUCAUUUGUGUAGCUUUUAAAUUAUUUUUGCUUUCAAAGAAAUAUUUAUUCAUAUCUUUU
ensembl:processed_transcript